GCCUAUAGCUCAGUGGUAGAGCCCCCGGCUCAUAACCGGUUGGUCCUAGGUUCGAAUCCUAGUAGGCC
rnacentral:tRNA from 1 species